rnacentral:lncRNA from 1 species
UUUGUACACAUCGUUCCUAAUUCAUCCCACAAUCCAUUAAGUUUGUUAAAAUAUGAGGCUACAUCCAGAGAUCCUUGAGAAGUAUGAGAGAGUUCUUUUUUUAGUUCAAAAAUUUUGGUUAUGUUAGCAGUACCAUAUCUAGCUGCGAGCUGUGCCCAUAUACUCUGUGCAGUAUCAGAAUGCUGCACACUCUCAGCUAUCUGAGGGGAUAAGGAAGCAGUCAACCAGGAUAUUACCAUAUUAUUACAUCUGUCCCAUAAACUUUUGUUCAGCCACAUUAGUGUCUGGUCGGGGAUAUGUACCAUCAACAAACCCAAUUUUAUUUUUAGCAGACAACGCUACAAUCAUUUUCCUCCUCCAACCCCCAUAACCACUANNNN